rnacentral:rRNA from 1 species
AUUGAACGCUGGCGGCAGGCCUAACACAUGCAAGUCGAGCGGAUGAAGGAAGCUUGCUCCUGGAUUCAGCGGCGGACGGGUGAGUAAUGCCUAGGAAUCUGCCUGGUAGUGGGGGAUAACGUCCGGAAACGGGCGCUAAUACCGCAUACGUCCUGAGGGAGAAAGUGGGGGAUCUUCGGACCUCACGCUAUCAGAUGAGCCUAGGUCGGAUUAGCUAGUUGGUGGGGUAAAGGCCUACCAAGGCGACGAUCCGUAACUGGUCUGAGAGGAUGAUCAGUCACACUGGAACUGAGACACGGUCCAGACACCUACGCGCGGCAGCAGUGGGGAAUAUUGGACAAUGGGCGAAAGCCUGAUCCAGCCAUGCCGCGUGUGUGAAGAAGGUCUUCGGAUUGUAAAGCACUUUAAGUUGGGAGGAAGGGCAGUAAGUUAAUACCUUGCUGUUUUGACGUUAACAACAGAAUAAGCACCGGCUAACUUCGUG